rnacentral:tRNA from 1 species
GCCGGAGUAGCUCAGCGGUAGAGCAGCGGACUCAUAAGCCGUUGGUCGUCAGUUCAAAUCUGACCUCCGGCA